UGCAAGUGAGUAUGAGUUGAAGAGCGCGCUACGCGGAGUGGGAAAAUAAACAAGGUAUGCUUGCUGUCGCGUGUUGAGUGUUGGGUCGGUAGACAAGCGAGUUGGUUCUAUGAAUGAUUUGUUGGGUUGAGCGUUAUGUGGGGGGCAGUUGAGUGGAAGUUUGCCUGCAAAUGUGCAUUGGGACUCACAUGUUUGUAUGUAUUUGUAAGCUUUGAUAAUUUUUAUUACACAAAAUGCAUUUCCAUGUAUUUGUGUAUUUUUUCUAGCUUCAUUAGUGACUUGCGCUUGUGUGCGCUCCUGUAUGUACAAAAUAUAUUUGACUUUAUUUGUGUUUCCAUUCUGAGCGCCAAUAUAUUGCCCACUUUUUUAAAUAAAUUCAAAGAGCGCCAAGUCAACAGCGCUAGUGAGCGCUGAGUUAAUAUUCUGCGAAUUCUCCCCUUUAUCGUGUGUUUAACGGCUUGCAAUUGGGCAGCGCUUUGGCUUUAUGGAAAUCGCAUGGAGCUUGGUUUUUUUAUUUAACAUCUGAGCUCUCACUCCCAACAUAAUGGUGCUGCACUCGCAAAAAUUUUAGGAGAAUUUUAUGGAAGCUCUCAAAAACUUAUCGGGACUCACGGCGAAAUUAUAAAUUACGGGCAAUUAAAAUAUAAUCAGAUGAUCCAAAAGCGUUCAGACAUCGCGCGCCCAUAAGCACUCAUACUCCACAGCAACCAAAAAGCGAGUGCUCUCUUUAUUCUGCUUUGUAUGAAGUCAAGUCAGGCGCGCGCUCUCUCUCUCCCACUCUCGCGCAAUCUUUGUUGAGAACUUCUUUGCUGCAAUUAUUGCAUUUUUUAUGAAAACUCCUCAUACGCUGGAGCGCGCCAUCUCAACCAUGCAUUCUAGCUGUCUUGAAAUGCUUGCACUGUUGGCUGCUCGUCACUGCAAUACAUUGCCAAACAGCUUGAGUGCAAUUUUUUCGUACUUUCCUACAUGCGCGUCCAGCCCUCCUCCUGUCAAUUGCGGGAAAUGCAGUGCGCGCUAAAUUCUGUCGCUGCUGCUUUGAAGGCUGCUGCUGCGUUUUUUGUUGUUCUUGACGAUUCAAAGCCGCGUCGUGCUUGGCAGUGUGUUGUGUUAUAAUUUUUAUAGUCGAGUCGGCUCGGCAGUCGCAAAAACGCAACGCAUCCGAUAUGCAACGGAACGCAUUUUCGGACGCGGCCCGAGUCGAUCCGAGUAAGCGGCGUCCGAUCGCGCGUUCAACAAUUGUUUUUUUGAAAACUAAACAUUUUUGUUGAGCAGCCGCCACCGCCAACGCCACCACCGCUGCCUUGUGGCAUGCAACGCGUAGAAAUUGAAUUAAAAGAGCGUAAAAAGAAGUUAUUGAAAUUAAAGAAAUCAUACAAAUUGUAAGCAUAUCGAGCCAAGUAGAGCUGCAACAAUAAACAAAAUAGCAUACAUACAAACAUACAUAUAUAUAUAUAUAUAUAGUUACAAACA